rnacentral:lncRNA from 1 species
UGAUGUUGCAUCAUAUUAUUAUUUACUUAGUACAUGUGACAUGUAUUAACAUAAAUUUCGUGUAGUUGUUGACACGUUCUCAUAUAUUGGAUGGUUUCCACCAUAUUAGUGUAAAUUUCACGUAGCUAGAAAACUUUUUUCCUUUUUUUUUUACCACAGAAUAACCAAACCAUAUCAUAAAUGAAAUUAUCUACAAAUUUGUAGUCAAUUAAUUCCCCGCAAUGUAACGUCUUAAGUCUUAACAUUUACUAGAUUUUGAGCCGCGCUUUCAAAGCGCGGGUUUAUUUUUGUUUUUUUUUCAAUUGACAAAUAUUUAGUAAAUGUCACAUUUUCAUAUAUUUGUGCUUUAUUUUAUAAAAGACUUAAAAUUUUUAUCUUUAUUUAUCGUAUUUCAUUUUAAAUGACUAUUUAUGUUUAAAAAAUUAAACUUUAUUUUUUAAUGAUUUAAGUUGGUAUAACUCUCAUAAAUUAAUUUUAUUAUGUGGUUAAUAUUUUAAUUAAAAAAUUAUAUACUUUUAAUAAAGAUUUAUACUUUUCAAUAAAAAAAUUCAAUUAUUUUUAUGAAUGCUUAAAUUAUAUUAAGAAAAGAAAAAAAAAAUAAUAAUUAAGAAUAGUUGAAAAAAAAUUAUUUGAACUUGGACUCAAUGGCCCAAAAGAAAAAAAAAAGUGAGAAUUGAAUCUGAUUUUUUAAUAGGUCCAAAUGGCCCAAGAGAGAUUUGAUGUGGGCUGGAUCCAAAAAUAAUGAUCCAAUAUAGAUUUGUUAUUAAUAUUACUUAAUUGCCCUUAAUGAAACAUGCAAUGUUAGUGAAGGAAACAUGCCCCUAAGGUAAUUAUGACAAUAGGAUCCUGCUUUAAUAGUAUAGAUUCACUAGAU